CACAAAACCUGCUCCUUUUCCUCCAGGCUUCCAGCUCCCUCAGUACUGGGGUACAUGGACAGUAAUUCCACGUGCACUACUUACAAUCGUAUGCACAUGCUACCAUAUCAGCCAGCAGUAUAAAUUUGGCCUUAAACAGACAUGAGCGCAGACUUUCAUGUAUGUGGGAAUGGCCAGGCCUGACAACUUUGAGUUUAUGUUGGCUGCAGAGGACUUGAAGAUAUCUAAUGCCAAAGGAAUCUUGAGAACCACCCCUGAGAACCAGCCAUUGCAACUGUGGCCACACAAUCUAAACCAGACCUCUGGAUAGAACAAGUACAAAAUAAAGGAUUUGGAAUAGGUUUUCUCUUAA